GAUGAACGCUAGCGGCAGGCUUAAUACAUGCAAGUCGAGGGACAGCACAGGUAGCAAUACUGGGUGGUAACCGGCAAACGGGUGCGGAACACGUACACAACCUUCCUUUAAGUGGGGGAUAGCCCAGAGAAAUUUGGAUUAAUACCCCGUAAUAUAGUUGAAUGGCAUCAUUUGAUUAUUAUAGCUACGGCGCUUAAUGAUGGGUGUGCGGCUGAUUAGAUAGUUGGCGGGGUAACGGCCCACCAAGUCUACGAUCAGUAGCUGAUGUGAGAGCAUGAUCAGCCACACGGGAACUGAGACACGGGCCCGACUCCUACGGGAGGCAGCAGUAAGGAAUAUUGGUCAAUGGACGCAAGUCUGAACCAGCCAUGCCGCGUGAAGGAUUAAGGUCCUCUGAUUGUAAACUUCUUUUAUUUGGGACGAAAAAGGGCCUUUCUAGGUCAACUGUCGGUACCAGAUGAAUAAGCACCGGCUAACUCCGUGCCAGCCGCCGCAGUAAUAC
rnacentral:rRNA from 1 species